UGUGGACAGUUAUCUAAAGAGACAAGUAUCAGACAUAAGAGACUAUUUGAAGUGCAAGCCUAUCAGUGUCUGACUUGUUUUGUUCAGUAGUUAGAAACUAUGAAUGUAAGAUUGCAUCAUAUGGCUGUACUUCCUGUUUGACCGUUGACUAAAAGCAUGCAAUGCCUUUUACUCAAGGAUGUUAAAAUAACAGUUGCAACAUCAAAGCAGUUCCCAUUCAUAAAUAUUUUUUUCUUUACUAUUUAUUGUUAUUAUUCAGAGAAACAGACAGAGACUUCCAACCCCUGGAUUUUUGUGAGCGUUGUGAUCGUCGUGAUCAUCAUUAUCCUGGUCCCGGUGCUUUGUUUCCUGGUCUACAGAUACAGAGAUGAUAUUUCCAGGAAAUGCAACCAUCUCAGCAACUACACUCCAGGGAAGAGGAGCAGUGUGGACCAACCAAUAGUUAUUGUGUAGUAGUGAUGGGAGUAGUAGUUUGUGUAUUAUCACUCGCAGCCUUCUAUUUUAGCAUUAUUUAGUAGUUACGAAUGGUUUGUGUGUUGGUGAGUCAGCUAUUCUCUUUUGCUAUGUUACACUUAUUUUUUAA